rnacentral:rRNA from 1 species
AUGUUGGAUUUAAGUGAUAAUUCAUUUGAUGGGGCAAUACCAAGCCAACUUAGUGGCCUGAUCAUGCUAGAUACCUUGAAUAUUUCACACAAUGAACUUAAUGGCUCCAUCCCUCGAUCAUUUCAGAGUAUGGAAAGCUUGAUAUCCAUUGAUAUAUCUUACAAUGAAUUGGAAGGACCAAUCCCAGAGAGUAAGCUCUUCCAAGAAGCUCCAAUACAGUGGUUCAUCCAUAAUAAGAUGCUAUGUGGUGUAGUUAAAGGAUUGCCCCCUUGUAGUAGUGCAACUCAGAGCAAAGGGAAAAGGAAAAGAUACAACACACUUGUACUAGCCAUAGUUCCUCCUUUGAUAUUUCUUGUUAUCAUUGUGGGGAUAUUGAUGCUUCGGCAUGAAAGGAAGAAACCCAAUGCAAUGAACACCACUAAUGUAACACAAACAAAGCUCUUCUCUAUUUGGAGUUUUGAUGGGCAGACGUGUUCAAGGAAAUUGUUGAAGCAACCAAUGAUUUUAGUGACAAACAUUGCAUAG